rfam:Plasmodium falciparum Dd2 supercont1.1439 genomic scaffold, whole genome shotgun sequence.
CGAGUUUCUGACCUAUCAGCUUUUGAUGUUAGGGUAUUGGCCUAACAUGGCUAUGACGGGUAACGGGGAAUUAGAGUUCGAUUCCGGAGAGGGAGCCUGAGAAAUAGCUACCACAUCUAAGGAAGGCAGCAGGCGCGUAAAUUACCCAAUUCUAAAGAAGAGAGGUAGUGACAAGAAAUAACAAUGCAAGGCCAAUUUUUGGUUUUGUAAUUGGAAUGGUGGGAAUUUAAAACCUUCCCAGAGUAACAAUUGGAGGGCAAGUCUGGUGCCAGCAGCCGCGGUAAUUCCAGCUCCAAUAGCGUAUAUUAAAAUUGUUGCAGUUAAAACGCUCGUAGUUGAAUUUCAAAGAAUCGAUAUUUUAUUGUAACUAUUCUAGGGGAACUAUUUUAGCUUUUCGCUUUAAUACGCUUCCUCUAUUAUUAUGUUCUUUAAAUAACAAAGAUUCUUUUUAAAAUCCCCACUUUUGCUUUUGCUUUUUGGGGAUUUUGUUACUUUGAGUAAAUUAGAGUGUUCAAAGCAAACAGUUAAAGCAUUUACUGUGUUUGAAUACUAUAGCAUGGAAUAACAAAAUUGAACAAGCUAAAAUUUUUUGUUCUUUUUUCUUAUUUUGGCUUAGUUACGAUUAAUAGGAGUAGCUUGGGGACAUUCGUAUUCAGAUGUCAGAGGUGAAAUUCUUAGAUUUUCUGGAGACGAACAACUGCGAAAGCAUUUGUCUAAAAUACUUCCAUUAAUCAAGAACGAAAGUUAAGGGAGUGAAGACGAUCAGAUACCGUCGUAAUCUUAACCAUAAACUAUGCCGACUAGGUGUUGGAUGAAAGUGUUAAAAAUAAAAGUCAUCUUUCGAGGUGACUUUUAGAUUGCUUCCUUCAGUACCUUAUGAGAAAUCAAAGUCUUUGGGUUCUGGGGCGAGUAUUCGCGCAAGCGAGAAAGUUAAAAGAAUUGACGGAAGGGCACCACCAGGCGGGGAGCUUGCGGCUUAAUUUGACUCAACACGGGGAAACUCACUAGUUUAAGACAGGAGUAGGUUGACAGAUUAAUAGCUCUUUCUUGAUCUCUUGUGGGGAUGCAUGCCGUUUUUAGCCGAAAUAUGAUUGUCUGUUAAUUCCGAAACGAACGAGAUCUUACCUGCUAUUAGCGGAAGCACACUAUAUUCUUAUUUGAAUUGAACAUAGGAACUAUACUUUUUUCAGAAUCAAAUUAGGAUAUUUUAUAAAAUAUCCUUUUCCUGUUCUACUAAAAUUGGUUUUAACUCUAUUUCUCUCUUCUUUAAGAUGACUUGCUUGAUGAAAGUUCUAGAGACCUUGUGGCUAACAAGGAAGUUAAGG